rnacentral:misc_RNA from 1 species
UGUGAGAGGGGGCUUGCCCCCGAUAGCUGAGUGUCAGUCAACAUCAAAGUGACUGAUCUACUGCUAUCGGGGGCAAGCCCCCUCUCACA